rnacentral:rRNA from 1 species
AGCAGUGGGGAAUUUUGGACAAUGGGCGAAAGCCUGAUCCAGCAAUGCCGCGUGAGUGAAGAAGGCCUUCGGGUUGUAAAGCUCUUUUGUCAGGGAAGAAACGGUGAGAGCUAAUAUCUCUUGCUAAUGACGGUACCUGAAGAAUAAGCACCGGCUAACUACGUGCCAGCAGCCGCGGUAAUACGUAGGGUGCAAGCGUUAAUCGGAAUUACUGGGCGUAAAGCGUGCGCAGGCGGUUUUGUAAGUCUGAUGUGAAAUCCCCGGGCUCAACCUGGGAAUUGCAUUGGAGACUGCAAGGCUAGAAUCUGGCAGAGGGGGGUAGAAUUCCACGUGUAGCAGUGAAAUGCGUAGAUAUGUGGAGGAACACCGAUGGCGAAGGCAGCUCCCUGGGUCAAGAUUGACGCUCAUG